GGGCCUAUAGCUCAGUUGGUAGAGCCCCCGGCUCAUAACCGGUCGGUCGUAGGUUCGAAUCCUGCUGGGCCCA
rnacentral:tRNA from 2 species